rnacentral:lncRNA from 1 species
GUUCAUCGCGUUUUAAUUUGUAUCGUCCGAUCGCGUUUAAAUAAGAAGUAGAUUUGAGCGGUUCAUCGUGUUUAGUCGUGACCAUCCGAUUGCGUCUGAGGGGGGACGGAUCCGAACCGUCCACCUGUGCAGAAAAGAAUCUAGACCGUCCGAUCGCGGGCACGCGGAUCACCAGUGUGGCCUCCCGCGUGGCACCGCGUCAGCGUACCUUGCCACGUGGCGCGCUCUGAUUCAUCAGAACUACUGAACUGAGUGGUACAUUUUUCUUAAAUUGCGUUUUAAU